rfam:Stegodyphus mimosarum contig111164, whole genome shotgun sequence.
GCCUUCGUGGUGUAGUGGUCAGCACGCUCGACGGGCAAACGAGAGGUCCAUGGUUCGAUUCCCGGCGAAGUUG